GACGAAGGGGGCUAGCGUUGUUCGGAAUUACUGGGCGUAAAGCGCGUGUAGGCGGUUUUCCAAGUUGGGUGUGAAAGCCUUGGGCUUAACCCAAGAAAUGCACUCAGUACUGGAAGACUAGAGGACCGGAGAGGAUAGUGGAAUUCCCAGUGUAGUGGUGAAAUACGUAGAGAUUGGGAAGAACACCAGUGGCGAAGGCGGCUAUCUGGACGGUUUCUGACGCUAAGACGCGAAAGCGUGGGGAGCAAACAGGAUUAGAUACCCUGGUAGUCCACGCCGUAAACGAUGGGUGCUAGACGUUGGCGAGCUUGCUCGUCAGUGUCGCAGCUAACGCGUUAAGCACCCCGCCUGGGGAGUACGGCCGCAAGGUUG
rnacentral:rRNA from 1 species